UAGUUAGCUUUUCGGUGAAGGAAAACAUCGUGAGGAAACUUGUAUACAUCUGCGAAGAAAUUCAAAGGUGUAUGUGAAGUCCCCAAUCCGCAUUGGGCUAGCGUGGGGACUAUAGCCCGAGCCAUCUCGCACAUGAGAGGAGGCCUGUGCCCAGCAGUGGGACGUAUAAAGGCUGAAUUAUUAUUAUUAAA